rnacentral:snRNA from 1 species
AUACCUUUCUCGGCCUUUUAGCUAAGAAUAAAUGCAGUAUCUGUUUUUAUCAGUUUAAUAUCUUACUCCCUCCGUUCAUAAAUAUAUGACAUUUUAGAGAUUUCAUUAUGAACUACAUACGGAUGUAUGUAGUCAUAUUUUAAAGUGUAAAUUCA